AGAACUGACAAUCCGAUGGGUGGAAUGAGGGAGUAACGCCCCGAAACGCCCACACUGAUACUCCGAUUGGCACAGGAUAUGCAACUAUCCGACUGUCAAAAGCUCGGUGAAGUCGGCAGAGAGUAACCGUAAGCGGAGCAAUCCGCACGAAACCCGUCCAGAGGUGGACGGUGUUACCUAUAUGCCGGGUGUCG
rnacentral:ncRNA from 1 species